CCACAGGCUUUUUUCAAAGCCACUUUAUAGAUGGCAUUUUUUGCCAG
rfam:Phoenicopterus ruber ruber contig33939, whole genome shotgun sequence.